rnacentral:tRNA from 1 species
GACCCGGUGGCGGAAGCGGUGACGCGAGAGCCAUGCAUGGUUCUUAAUCCUGGUUCAAAUCCAGGCCGGGUCUCCA